CUUUGUGCUGUGACGAGAGAAUCGUGGACUAGAGUUUCUGAUUUGAGGAUUUACUCAGAAGUUGAUUAUGAAACCCUUGGCUGUCCGAGCACACCA
rnacentral:snoRNA from 1 species